UGACGAAUAGGAGAGUGGAGAGGAUGGAUGAAUAUAAAAGUUGUGAAGAUUAGGGAUUUGAAACCGAUGUGUGCCUUUUGAUUGCUAAAGUAAUGAUUUUGGGGUUUAUGAGUGAUUAUUGUAGGCUUUGACUCCUUGAGAGAGAGAGUGAGUCGCGGUGGUUCCCUGCCGGCGAAAACUCCUGACAAGUAGGCUUUGACUCUGGUAUACGGUAGUCCCCUUGAUGCUGUGUAGCCGGCUUUGGAUUCUGGUGGUUCGCGCUUUCUUUGGGGGAACCAUUCGGCGUAGUAGUUUGAUCUCGGUUGGUGUUGAUGUUGUGAUGAGAAGAUCAUGGGGUAUGGUCUUUGGAUUGGUGUGUUCUGUUUCUUAAGUUUGGUUAGCCGAUGGCGCUAAGUGAUUGAUUACGGGUUUAGGUUUGAGUUUUUGGAUGAGAUCUCGAUUCCAAUCGAUUGAUGCUCUCUAAAACUCAGACUGUGUGGCUUGCUGCUGAAUUUUCUAAACCUCCAAUACAGUUGUUGGAGGUGGCUUUUCGGUGGUUGUGGGUGAAGUCCCGGUGGAGUCAGGUGUUUAAUCGCUCUGUUUGGUUGGUGGUGUCUAUUAAGUCGGAGAAGAUGAUGGAGGAUGGUGUUCCUGGUGUGACGCCGGUGUGAUUCGGUGGUUCCGGUGCAUCGUCGUUCAGUCUCCGGCGUAGAAUCUCGAGAUGACGAUA
rnacentral:lncRNA from 1 species